rnacentral:rRNA from 1 species
UACGACUACAUAUCAGGCAUAUCAAUAAGCGGAGGAAAAGAAACUAACAAGGAUUCCCUUAGUAACGGCGAGUGAAGCGGGAAGAGCUCAAAUUUGAAAUCUUCAAGGUUUUACCUUGACGAAUUGUAGUUUAAAGAAGUGUUUUCUGUUGAGUUGCGGUGGAAAAGUUCUUUGGAAUAGGACAUCAUAGAGGGUGAGAAUCCCGUAUUUGACCGUUAUUUUCAGCUGUGUGAUACACUUUCAAAGAGUCGGAUUGUUUGGGAAUGCAGUCCAAAAUGGGUGGUAAAUUUCAUCUAAAGCUAAAUAUUGGCGAGAGACCGAUAGCGAACAAGUACCGUGAGGGAAAGAUGAAAAGAACUUUGAAAAGAGAGUUAAACAGUACGUGAAAUUGUCAAAAGGGAAGCGUUUGACACCAGUGUUGUUUUCUCGAAAAUCAAUUAAAAAUAACUUUGAUUUUGUGUUGUAUUGACCUUAAAAGCUUUCUUCACUUUUUUCAUUGUUAUUUUUAAUGCACUUUUCGUUUAACAAGUCAACAUCAGUUUCUUUUGUUGUAAAAAGGUCAUUGGAAGGUGGCUUUCUUUUCGGAGAAAGUGUUUAUAGCCUUUGACUCCUGCAAUCGGAGAGACUGAGGUCUGCAGCGUAGAUCCUUUUGGAUUAGAUUCAUUUGUGCUAAGUUAUAGCUUUUUAUAGACAACAUGUUGACUAUAGUUUUAGUCAUUGUAGCUUACUCGCUUAUGUAAUUUUACCUACGCUUAGGAUGUUGAUCUCUCACAGUCGAGC